GACGGAGGAUGCAAGCGUUAUCCGGAAUGAUUGGGCGUAAAGCGUCUGCAGGUGGCAGUUCAAGUCUGCUGUCAAAGACCGGGGCUUAACUUCGGAAAGGCAGUGGAAACUGAACAGCUAGAGUAUGGUAGGGGCAGAGGGAAUUCCUGGUGUAGCGGUGAAAUGCGUAGAGAUCGGGAAGAACAUCGGUGGCGAAAGCGCUCUACUGGACCGCAACUGACACUCAGGGACGAAAGCUAGGGGAGCGAAUGGG
rnacentral:rRNA from 1 species